GUUGCUGCAAUACAUAGUGCAUAAAACUGAUUGCCAUCUUUUUGUAUUGUAAGGCUAAGGACGCAGCAAAAAGUUAUACUAAAAUGCCAAAAGUUCAGUAUAAAUAAAAACCUCGAGACACUUGGCUUCGCGAUCCGUUGUUCAAGGAUUGGAUGUCAAUUUAUCCAAAUGACGCUAAUAAGUGUUAUUGCAGAUAUUGCAAAUCCAGUAUAGUUUCAAAGCUGUACGAUUUGCAGGGACAUGCCAAAACCAAGAAGCAUAAGGCGGCAACGAGUUGCUUUACUCAAAAAAAUAAAAUUGUGUUUACACCAAAUGUGCUUCCUAAAACGAAGCAAAGCAGCAGCCUUAUGUUUGUUUAUUGCAUCCCAUUCUGCUAUUUCACCCAUCGAUCACAUGGGUAUAUUGUGCGCCACAAAAUUUGAUGGCGACAAAGUCAAAGUGGAAAUAGAGAUUCGAUUUAGGUGCACGGAGUUUAUCAUUUCACUUAUAGAUGAGCUUAAACAGAGAUUACCCAAAAACUUCCAAAUUCUUCAGCAAAUCGACAUUUUUUC
rnacentral:sRNA from 1 species